GAGGUUUGCCUAGAAGCAGCC
rnacentral:siRNA from 1 species